UGAACCAGUACCGUGAGGGAAAGGCGAAAAGAACCCCUGUGAGGGGAGUGAAAUAGAACCUGAAACCGUGUACGUACAAGCAGUAGGAGCACCUUCGUGGUGUGACUGCGUACCUUUUGUAUAAUGGGUCAGCGACUUAUAUUCAGUGGCAAGGUUAACCAUCUAGGGGAGCCGUAGGGAAACCGAGUCUUAACUGGGCGYCAUAGUCUCUGGAUAUAGACCCGAAACCGAGUGAUCUAGCCAUGGGCAGGUUGAAGGUUGAGUAACAUCAACUGGAGGACCGAACCGACUAAUGUUGAAAAAUUAGCGGAUGACUUGUGGCUAGGGGUGAAAGGCCAAUCAAACUCGGAGAUAGCUGGUUCUCCCCGAAAGCUAUUUAGGUAGCGCCUCGGACGAAUACUACUGGGGGUAGAGCACUGUUAAGGCUAGGGGGUCAUCCCGACUUACCAACCCUUUGCAAACUCCGAAUACCAGUAAGUACUAUCCGGGAGACACACGGCGGGUGCUAACGUCCGUCGUGGAGAGGGAAACAACCCAGACCGCCAGCUAAGGUCCCAAAUUACAGCUAAGUGGGAAACGAUGUGGGAAGGCUUAGACAGCUAGGAUGUUGGCUUAGAAGCAGCCAUCAUUUAAAAGAAAGCGUAAUAGCUCACUAGUCGAGUCGGCCUGCGCGGAAGAUGUAACGGGGCUAAGUUGUAAACCGAAGCUGCGGCAAUGUUCUAUGAACAUUGGGUAGGGGAGCGUUCUGUAAGCCGUUGAAGGUGUGUUGUAAAGCAUGCUGGAGGUAUCAGAAGUGCGAAUGCUGACAUGAGUA
rnacentral:rRNA from 1 species